ACUCUUCUGACGAGACACCAGAUUGCCUACUGGCUUCUUCCAGCUUUCCCGAGCACAGGGAGAGUGGCAGCAAUACCAGGGAGCCUUAUGCUUACAAGAUGGACACCAUAUGUUUUCACUAUCGCUUCGUAGCUGUUCUCAUCUGUCCCUUUUCUUUGUCCUUUUAGUAUCUGAGGUCCAGUAACCCUGAGAAAUUUAAUUUGAGAAGACACCAUGAAUGAAAUAUUAAUAUUUUAAAAUCAAGUACAAAGAGAAGAUUGCCUGUGAGUGGUUAUUCUCUUCAGUUGUCCAAUAGCUGUUAUUUAUCAAAUUAACACCAAAACGUUCAAACUCUCUAAAAAUGAAUAGCUUUGCUUUAUAAGGAGAGUUGUGAAAACUUAUUAAGAACUCCUGCACAUAUUAUUUAAAGAUACCAUUUACACGUGAGAGUAAUUAUAAAUGAAAUAUAUUAAAUGUCCGAAAGUAGCACCAUGUGGCAGAAUUUUCAGGAAAAGAAAUCGAAUUAGUACUGGAAGAAGACAUUCAAAUAAGAGAACCACAUUUUCAAGACUCCUGCCCCUGCCACGAGAACACACCCUUUCCAGUUUGCUGGAGAAAUAUAAGAGAAGUCCAGUGAAAGAGAGCUGAGUUUCCCCAAUGAUGCCAUCAAGAUGAACUAACUACAGUUAACCAGCCAGCUGAUAGCAGAUGCAUGAGUGAGCCCAGCUGAGAGCAGUGCCUACAAUAGUUCCUGGUAUGUAGAAGGUAUACAAUAAAUAUUGGCGGAGUGAAGGAACAAAUGGGAUUUGCUUGAUUCUGCUGCAGAAGACUAAGAAAAAGACAUAAAUGAAUAAAUAACUAGUAGAAUGUUAACACAAUCAGAAAAAGGACCAUUUCUUUUCAUUUGGAUGUCUCAAAUCUAUUUGUUGUUUUUGUUGUUGUUGUUUUUCUGG
rnacentral:lncRNA from 1 species